rnacentral:rRNA from 1 species
GUAAUUGGUAGAGGAUGUUUCGGGUGCGGGACCGGUUAAGGGAACAGGGCGUCACAGAGGGCGAGAAUCCCGUAUGGGACCGGUACCCAACCCCAUGUGAAACUCCUUCGACGAGUCGAGUUGUUUGGGAAUGCAGCUCCAAAUGGGUGGUAAAUUUCAUCUAAAGCUAAAUACUGGCCAGAGACCGAUAGCGCACAAGUAGAGUGAUCGAAAGAUGAAAAGCACUUUGGAAAGAGAGUCAAAAAGUACGUGAAAUUGUUGAAAGGGAAGCGCUUGCAACCAGACCUGUCCGUGGGCGAUCAGCCUCUGUUCUCAGGGGUGCACUCGUCUACGAUCAGGCCAGCAUCGGUUCGGGCGGCCGGAUAAAGGCCUUGGGAAUGUAGCUCCCUUCGGGGAGUGUUAUAGCCCUCGGCGUAAUGCGGUCAGCCCGGACCGAGGACCGCGCUUCGGCUAGGAUGCUGGCGUAAUGGUUGUAAGCGACCCGUCUUGAAACACGGACCAAGGAGUUGACCAUCUAUGCGAGUGUUUGGGUGUCAAACCCCUACGCGUAAUGAAAGUGAACGGAGGUGAGAACCCUUGAGGGCGCAUCAUCGACCGAUCCAGAAGUUUUCGGAUGGAUUUGAGUAGGAGCAUAGCUGGUCUGACCCGAAAGAUGGUGAUCUAUACUUGAAUAGGGUGAAGCCAGAGGAAACUCUGGUGGAGGCUCGCAGCGGUUUCUGACGUGCAAAUCGAUCGUCAAAUUUGGGGUAUAGGGGCGAAAGACUAAUCGAACCCAUCUAGUAGCUGGUUCCUGC